GAUGAAGAACGCAGCGAAAUGCGAUAAGUAAUGUGAAUUGCAGAAUUCAGUGAAUCAUCGAAUCUUUGAACGCACAUUGCGCCCGCCAGUAUUCUGGCGGGCAUGCCUGUUCGAGCGUCAUUUCAACCAUCAAGCCCCAGGCUUGUGUUGGAGCCCUGCGGCUGCCGCAGCCUCCCAAAACCAGUGGCGGGCUCGCUAUCACACCGAGUGCAGUAGUUUACUCUUCGCUCAGGGCGUGUGGCGGGUGCUAGCCGUAAAACCCCCAACUUCUCAUGGUUGACCUCGGAUCAGGUAGGAAUACCCGCUGAACUUAAGCAUAUCAAUAAGCGGAGGA
rnacentral:misc_RNA from 1 species